AGUAAUGCGUUACCAACCUCGCCCCAUGCUCCAGAAUAGCUCUUGGAAACGGGUGGUAAUGCUGGAUGCUCCAACUUGACGCAUGUCUUGUUGGGAAAGUGUUUAGUGGCAUUGGAUGGGGUCGCGUCCUAUCAGCUUGUAGGCGGGGUAAUGGCCCACCUAGGCUUCGACGGGUAGCCGGGCCCUGAGAGGGCUGACGGCCACAUUGGGACUGAGAUACGGCCCAGACUCCUACGGGAGGCAGCAGUG
rnacentral:rRNA from 1 species